rnacentral:tRNA from 1 species
GGGCCGGUAGUUUAGUCCGGUAGAAUACCUGCCUUGCAUGCUGGCAACGGCAGAGGAAACGUAGGUGGUCGUGGGUUCGAAUCCCACCCGGUCCA